UACGGAGGGGGCUAGCGUUGUUCGGAAUUACUGGGCGUAAAGCGCGCGUAGGCGGACCUGCAAGUCGGGGGUGAAAGCCCGAGGCUCAACCUCGGAACUGCCUUCGAUACUGCGGGUCUCGAGUCCGGGAGAGGUGAGUGGAAUUCCUAGUGUAGAGGUGAAAUUCGUAGAUAUUAGGAAGAACACCAGUGGCGAAGGCGGCUCACUGGCCCGGUACUGACGCUGAGGCACGAAAGCGUGGGGAGCAAA
rnacentral:rRNA from 1 species